GAUUUUUUUUUUUUUUUGUUAAAUUUGUUACUUGAGUAGUCUAAUAUGCUUUUUUAUUAAAUGAGUAUUAUUGUGAGAUGCUUUUUAUUGAAUGAGUAUUGUGAUUUGUUAUAUGUUUUUAUUAAAAGGGUACUGUUGCACUAUGAUGUAGUGUAAUUGCGCAAAUUAUCAAAAAAAUCAAUUGUUUAAUACUUCAAUUUCUCAUAUGCUUG
rnacentral:misc_RNA from 1 species